rfam:Niastella vici strain DJ57 contig42, whole genome shotgun sequence.
AAGGCGUUAUGCUGAAAAGCCUUAAUAGAGUAAGCA